UGAGGAAUAUUGGUCAAUGGGCGAGAGCCUGAACCAGCCAAGUAGCGUGCAGGAUGACGGCCCUAUGGGUUGUAAACUGCUUUUAUGUGGGGAUAAAGUGCGUGACGUGUCAUGCAUUGCAGGUACCAUAUGAAUAAGGACCGGCUAAUUCCGUGCCAGCAGCCGCGGUAAUACGGAAGGUCCAGGCGUUAUCCGGAUUUAUUGGGUUUAAAGGGAGCGUAGGCUGUUUGUUAAGCGUGUUGUGAAAUGUAAGAGCUCAACUUUUAGAUUGCAGCGCGAACUGGCAGACUUGAGUGCGCACAACGUAGGCGGAAUUCAUGGUGUAGCGGUGAAAUGCUUAGAUAUCAUGACGAACUCCGAUUGCGAAGGCAGCUUACGGGAGCGCAACUGACGCUAAAGCUCGAAGGUGCGGGUAUCGAACAGG
rnacentral:rRNA from 1 species